UACGGAGGGGGCCAGCGUUGUUCGGAAUCAUUGGGCGUAAAGGGCGCGUAGGCGGCCACGCAAGUCGGAUGUGAAAUCCCUCGGCUCAACCGGGGAACUGCAUCCGAAACUGCGAGGCUCGAGUCCUGGAGAGGGUAGUGGAAUUCCCAGUGUAGCGGUGAAAUGCGUAGAUACUGGGAGGAACACCGGUGGCGAAGGCGGCUACCUGGACAGGUACUGACACUGAGGCACGAAGGCCAGGGGAGCAAACGGG
rnacentral:rRNA from 1 species